CCCCUGCCCGAGAACUUCGGCUCCUUCCGCCACCGCUUCGGGAAGGCCUCACUCACGGGGACAGCUUCGGUUUUUUCCGUCGGCGCUUCGGCUCCUUCCGGCUUCGGGAACCGAAAAGGGAGGGAGGACAGAGACGAGCUCCGGCUCCCGGCCUGACCGCCCGCUCCGUGGAGCUCGCCGGUGCCCCUUCGCUGUCUCCGCGGCAACGGACGCCCCCUCCAAGAAGAGGCCGGGCCUAGUUUAUCCCAAAUUUUAUCGUCUGUCUUUAA